GAUUUUAUCAUUCUGUUUUAAUCUGUAUUUAAAAAAUGAAUACUUUCCUCCUCGGUACAGAGGAGCUUUGGUUAUAUUUUGCUGUCAUGAUGACAAACAUGACAAAAUAUACUUUGGGUGAAAAAUUAUGUGAUGAUCUUUUAUUGUUGUUUAUUGUUUGUUUUUGAAGUUUAUUGUCUGUGGAAGCCUGUCUAUCUACACUGGGCUACAUCCAUCCAAGAAGAUGGUGACUGUGAGUCUGGCCAUGUACAUCAUGUCUAUCUUGGGAAUCGUGGUCUCUGUUGGCUACAGGAUAUUCAGCUUUGCCCAUUUAAGCGACCUUAGGUACAGGACCCGUUGGGGGGACUACAGUGACUGGGGCUUUUACAGAAUGAGCAGCUUUUAGCUGUGGAAAUCAUAUUAUUCAUUUCCUCUCUGUGCGUGUUAGUGCUCCUCAUCUUCUUGUGUGCCGUCGCACGUUUAGCUCUGAAAUCUACACGCACUCAGGUUAUCAUCCAGCUCAUCCCACCACCACAGAGGACUGACACACCAUCAAAUUAAGAUCAACCUUUUGAAGAAUUAUCCUACAAUAACUAGCACUGCUUUUCCUGCAGCACAUCUAACCUGUUUAAGAGACUUGCCCCAAUUCUGUUACAGUAUAUUGCAUGUGAAGAUUACACCACCUAGAGGCAGCAGCCCUGUAGCCCAGCCACAGCUUUUUUUUUAUUUACCUAAAUCUGCAGUAUGUGUAACUGCAGUAAAAAUGCAAUGCUGAACCACAUUUAUUUUACAUGCACUUACAAGAGAAUAUCAUAACCACUAAGCUCUCUACCAAGGCUUAUGCGUACGCACUAUAUGGGUCAGUAAACAUGUACCUAUGUUACAUUACUUUCUAUUAAAGCUUCAAGGUGAACAGGUACUUCUGACACUGACCAAUAAAGUUAACAGAUUAACUCCAUGGUAAUGUAUAUUGUAUAAACAAUAAUAUAGUGAUUUUAGUUGACACUGGUGGAGUCAGACAUGCCUCAAUAUUUACAUUAAACUAAAUCAGUUUUGUUAGCCUUUAACCUUUUUGUUGUCAACAUGUCUGAUCAUUAACUAUGUUAUCUGCAUGAAUAUGACAUCAUGUGCAGUCUAGUUUAGACUCUACUUGCAGCUUUUGAUAAUCAAUAUGAACCUCUAUACACUUAGCUAAAGGCAUUUUUAUUUAUGACUUUGGAUGAAUGAGCAGAUGUUGGCUCUGGUCUGGACUGAUUGCAACUUUCUAGAUGUUCAAAAUAACCAUAUAUUUCAGGAACUGAAAUGAUGACAUGACAACCAGCCAGCAUUUUUUUCAAAGCUUAUGACUUGAGUAUGUUUAUAUAGUUCAGGAUAUUUAUUGACUUGACUGAUAUGAAGAGCCUGCUUGGAAGCCUGUGAAUGCGUUAACAACACAGAUUUUAGGUCUUUGCAAAAGGCAGUGCCUGGGCUGGGACCACUUUAGGAAUAUAGCUUUAGUUUUUAGCUAGAUUGAUGACCUAUUACACAACAAACCUAUAUAGUGCACUGUAUUUUGAAUCUGAAUUGGUUUACUUUACUACUAAAUACAAAGUUAAUAGGUCUUGGCUCAUGUUGGGGUAUUAAAAAGACCCGAAAGAAAUUUGGUCAUGCAACUUCUGUGUUAAAUUUUAGUGGUUUGAGCAACAUUCUUUUUAAUCACUGGGCGACCACAAAAACUGCAAUGAUACCACAACAUUUUGGUCAUUUAAUUUAUUUCUAUUCAUUUCAUUGAGUAAACAAACAGGUAGUCAAGGGAGGAGGAAAAUCCAGUGGAGGAGUUUGUUGUAGUCAUAUUUGGUCCAAGUGUAUUUUAACGUUCAUAGUAUUUAAUAGACGUAGCU